ensembl:lncRNA
GCAGCGAGACAGGAGUAACGGGACUAUGGAUAAAUGAAUGCAUUCAAAUCCGACCAAUGAGAAGUGAGAAAUAUCCAUGAGUCUCCUCCUGGGUGUUACUGCUGAGGCCGAAGGAUUGUGAUUCGACCACUCGACGGGUACUUGAAAUGUUUCGACGCUCUCAAUUAAAGUAAGGUCAGAUAGUGAAGAAGUCAUGUACUCCAACAUCAGAUGCUGAGUGUGAGAUCCAGGAUGGAUUCUUCUGUAGUGACUCAGCAGAUAAAGACACAUUCUCAGAGGCCACAUUGUCAUGCCAACCCCACACGAU